AUUGAACGCUGGCGGCAGGCUUAACACGUGCAAGUCGAGCGGAGAUGAGGUGCUUGCACCUUAUCUUAGCGGCGGACGGGUGAGUAAUGCUUAGGAAUCUGCCUAUUAGUGGGGGACAACAUUCCGAAAGGAAUGCUAAUACCGCAUACGUCCUACGGGAGAAAGCAGGGGAUCUUCGGACCUUGCGCUAAUAGAUGAGCCUAAGUCGGAUUAGCUAGUUGGUGGGGUAAAGGCCUACCAAGGCGACGAGCUGUAGCGGGUCUGAGAGGAUGAUCCGCCACACUGGGACUGAGACACGGCCCAGACUCCUACGGGAGGCAGCAGUGGGGAAUAUUGGACAAUGGGGGGAACCCUGAUCCAGCCAUGCCGCGUGUGUGAAGAAGGCCUUAUGGUUGUAAAGCACUUUAAGCGAGGAGGAGGCUACUGAGACUAAUACUCUUGGAUAGUGGACGUUACUCGCAGAAUAAGCACCGGCUAACUCUGUGCCAGCCGCCGCCGUAAUAC
rnacentral:rRNA from 1 species